UAGCCAAGGAUGACUUGCCUAGCUAUAUGCCUGAGAGCCUGUCUCUUGGUGGUAAAUUUGUAUGUGCUGAGCAUAUAGGCAUGUCUUCCUUGGCUACU
rnacentral:pre_miRNA from 1 species